rnacentral:rRNA from 1 species
ACGGGAGGCAGCAGUGGGGAAUAUUGGACAAUGGGGGAAACCCUGAUCCAGCGACGCCGCGUGAGUGAAGAAGUAUUUCGGUAUGUAAAGCUCUAUCAGCAAGGAAGAAAAUGACGGUACUUGACUAAGAAGCUCCGGCUAAAUACGUGCCAGCAGCCGCGGUAAUACGUAUGGAGCAAGCGUUAUCCGGAUUUACUGGGUGUAAAGGAAGCGUAGACGGCGAAGCAAGUCUGAAGUGAAAUGCCGGGGCUUAACCCCGGAACUGCUUUGGAAACUGUUUUGCUAGAGUGCAGGAGAGGUAAGCGGAAUUCCUAGUGUAGCGGUGAAAUGCGUAGAUAUUAGGAGGAACACCAGUGGCGAAGGCGGCUUACUGGACCGUAACUGACGUUGAGGCUCGAAAGCGUGGGGAGCAAACAGGAUUAGAUACCCUGGUA